GACGAACGCUGGCGGCGUGCUUAACACAUGCAAGUCGAACGGUAAGGCCCUUCGGGGUACACGAGUGGCGAACGGGUGAGUAACACGUGGGUGAUCUGCCCUGCACUUCGGGAUAAGCCUGGGAAACUGGGUCUAAUACCGGAUAGGACCACUGCCUGCAUGGGUGGUGGUGGAAAGCUUUUGCGGUGUGGGGGGGGCCCGCGGCCUAUCAGCUUGUUGGUGGGGUGAUGGCCUACCGAGGUGACGGCGGGUCGCCGGCCUGGGAGGGUGACCGGCCGGACGGGGCCUGAGAUACGGCCCAGACUCCUACGGGAGGCGGCAGGGGGGGAGAUUGCACAAUGGGCGCAAGCCUGAUGCAGCGACGCCGUGUGAGGGAUGACGGCCUUCGAGUUGUAAACCUCUUUCAGCACCGACGAAGCGCAAGUGACGGUAGGUGCAGAAGAAGGACCGGCCAACUACGUGCCAGCAGCCGCGGUAA
rnacentral:rRNA from 1 species